rnacentral:rRNA from 1 species
CGCGUAGGCGGCCUGGUAAGUCAGAUGUGAAAGCCCGGGGCUUAACCCCGGAAGUGCAUUUGAUACUGUCAGGCUUGAGUAUGGGAGAGGGAAGUGGAAUUCCUGGUGUAGAGGUGAAAUUCGUAGAUAUCAGGAGGAACACCGGUGGCGAAGGCGACUUCCUGGACCAAUACUGACGCUGAGGCGCGAAGGCGUGGGGAGCAAACAGGAUUAGAUACCCUGGUAGUC